AUCAUGAAACAUGGAAGAACUAUCAGAACAACUCAGCGGGAUUCAUGAAUGGAAGCUGAUGGAAGUGUAAUAGUCACAGUGCUCACAAGUGUUGUUAAAAUUUAUCUGGUCUGGCAAUGGGAAUUUCGUGUUUCAGCCUCAUGUAGUUGGAUGGUACAAUAUGUUGGCAUUAAACCGGAUUCCCUCAUCAGAACAAGUCGCUAGGCCUAAAUUGUGGUUUGCAUUAGAUUUCAAUCUCUGCAUGUUGAAAUAAUUUUGUGCUACAAGGAAAUUUAAUUCUGUGAAUAUUUCUAGAGCUCAUCACCAUUGUUUACCUCAAAUAAAACAGCAAGUUCAGGCUCUUUUUUAUUCAUCUUUAUAGGAACUGCUUACAGAAUCCAGCAGUGAAGGCUGAAGAACAAGUGAACUCAAGCAUUCAAAGUGUCUGCCACACCCCAACCUAAACGACUGCCGAAGACUAAAUAUAUCACUUUUGAAGACAAAUUAUGAAAUUAUGGCCACUGGAAAUAUACGACGUUGAUGCCGGUGACUGUUGGGAUCGUCAGCAGGCAGCCAAGGGUUCGCCGGACAGAAAAGUGGAGUUUGAUGACUUAAAAUCUUUUGACUCGGCUGACCCAAGCCAACACACUUCUGCAACACGAGCCACAAUUGUACUGGGUAAGGCAAUCUUUGAUUGUGUGCAUGUUUUCAUUAAAAAAAAAAAAAAAACUUUAAUUUUCUGUAUUGAUGAAUGAAAUUUCUCUUCUCAGCUCGUUGUUGGAUCUACAAACAAAUAACUGAUCAGUUAUUGAAGGAUAGUGUUUUUAAGGUGGAAAUGGAUGAAAAAUUUAUUAAUCUUUAUUUGUUUUAGCACGAUAAAAUGCUGCAUAUCACCAUAGCGAUGGCACAGGUAUGCUUCAACUCUUCAAUGGCCGAAUUUUAAAUUCAAUUCUCUGGUUGUGGGAACAGUGAGUGUUGGUGAACUAACCUAAUUUGGAUAACAAUAAGCUUGGGUCGGAUCUAUAGAGGAACGUGAUGAUGAUGAGACUAAUGAUAAUUUAACUUUUAUUUUACAAUUGUUACAUCGAAACUUUAAAACAUCUGACAGGAUAAAUUUGUCGUUAUACACUCAUCCACUGAUUCGUGAAAAUGUGUUUGCGUGAAACACUGCUCAGUUGAUUUUGUUUUCUUUCAAUUAUAUUAGUUAUAGGACAUAGGCACAGGACUAAGUAGUAAUUAUACAUUUUAUUAUUUGCAAUGGUCAUAGAUUAUUUCUUACAUUCCAUUCAACUCCUAGAACUGAUUUGAAUCAGAGCGCUACCGACAUAUUCCACUCGAUACGACAUCGAUAAAUACUGUUAUCCAGGCCGUUCGUAGCGGCCAUAAAGGCUCCUUGGAGAACCCUACGCUUUCGCCGCCACGCGGUUGUAGUUCGCGACGUAUGCGUCGAGGAAUGUUAAUCAUUGCGUUUUAGAGGCAUACAGUUGUCUACUCCUACUCGUUUCGCCUUGUGAAUCACAAGUUAUCAAAUUCGUCCGGUAGGAAGGAUUAGGAGCUUCUACUUAGCGAGUUCCUGUAUGCAUACUUACUCAACUGUCUAUACUCGUUGGGAAAUCGUUACUUCAAAGGUUCAUCGCCCCGUACUUAUUUAUAAAAUUGCAUGCAGACUUUUUAUUAUCAUAUGUAGCUUUAUAAUCGAUUGAUGUACGUUGGUACUAAGGUAAUAUUUUUCAGCAUUUAAAAUUUGGUUUCAACAUUAACUGUUGCAAACAUUUUCCAAGAUUGCAGAUUGUAGAUACCCCUUGUGCUUUGAUUUAAAAAAAAGCUACUGGAUCCCACCUAUAAGUAGCUCUACUUCAGACUUCCAGAUAGUAAUUUUACUCCAGGUUAUUGUCAAUUAAUUUCAGCAUUUUUUUUUUUUGCAUAUACCACCUGAUAGGUCGGUAUUACUUUGACGACUGGGAGCGUGUUCCCAGUGCCUGUUUGCGACCUUCCGGUUGUGUAUAUUUUCUAUUUUAAUGGUCGUUUGAAGAUUUGCCAGGUUCCAGAGAUCUGCCAGAAGAGAGCCAUCGUCUGUCUUUCGGUUUCAUCAGUUGUCUUUUCAUCAAUCCAAUCAACAGCGCUGAAUUCUAGAAUUCAACGAAGAAUCUUGGUAGCAAUUCAGUCUAAACUGUGACAAACGAAUUAUCCGCCAGCAGUCCCGUCCGUUCCUUUGGGAGUCGCGGUCGCAGCAAAAAAAUUUCGACACUCUGUCCACUCGUUUCACCACUCUCAGUCAGCUGGAUGGAUUUGUCUUUAAUUAUUCAGGUACUGCUGGAAGACUCUCAUCAGGACGCCUUCCUUAUUAAGAUGAAGAGUGCUGGAUUGAUUGAAGGCGAAUCAUUGAGAACGAAGGACUGCCAAUCUCGGAACAAAGUGGCUAUUAUCCUGCCCUUCCGGAAUCGCAGUCAACAUUUGACAGUUUUCCUGCACUUCAUGCAUCCGUUCCUUCAGCGACAGCAACUCGACUACACCAUUUUCGUUGUCGAGCAGACCGAUGGAUUACCUUUUAACCGCGGCAUGCUGUUAAAUGUCGGUUUCGUUGAGGCCCAGCGUUCUGACACGUUCCAAUGUUUCAUCUUUCACGAUGUGGAUAUCUUGCCGGAAGACGCCGGAAGAUGACAGCAAUAUUUAUUCGUGUCCGGAUAUCGGCAGACCACGUCACAUGUCUUUCGUUAUCGAUAUUCAUCACCAAGCCAGUGUCGUUAAUGUUCCUUUUCGGGGGUGGAGUCAUUGCUAUUUCGGCCGAUUUCGUCCGUGCCAAUGGUUACUCGAACGCCUUUUGGGGACUGGGAUUGGAUGACGACGAC
rnacentral:misc_RNA from 1 species